rnacentral:rRNA from 1 species
UCUCCUGGAAACGGGUGGUAAUGCCGGAUGCUCCGACUCCUCGCAUGGGGUGUCGGGAAAGAUUUCAUCGGUAUGGGAUGGGGUCGCGUCCUAUCAGGUAGUCGGCGGGGUAACGGCCCACCGAGCCUACGACGGGUAGCCGGCCUGAGAGGGCGACCGGCCACAUUGGGACUGAGAUACGGCCCAGACUCCUACGGGAGGCAGCAGUGGGGAAUAUUGCACAAUGGGCGCAAGCCUGAUGCAGCGACGCCGCGUGCGGGAUGACGGCCUUCGGGUUGUAAACCGCUUUUGAUCGGGAGCAAGCCUUCGGGUGAGUGUACCUUUCGAAUAAGCACCGGCUAACUACGUGCCAGCAGCCGCGGUAAUACGUAGGGUGCAAGCGUUAUCCGGAAUUAUUGGGCGUAAAGGGCUCGUAGGCGGUUCGUCGCGUCCGGUGUGAAAGUCCAUCGCUUAACGGUGGAUCUGCGCCGGGUACGGGCGGGCUGGAGUGCGGUAGGGGAGACUGGAAUUCCCGGUGUAACGGUGGAAUGUGUAGAUAUCGGGAAGAA